UACGUAGGGUGCAAGCGUUAUCCGGAAUUAUUGGGCGUAAAGAGCUCGUAGGCGGUCUGUCGCGUCUGCUGUGAAAUCUGGGGGCUCAACCCCCAGCCUGCAGUGGGUACGGGCAGACUAGAGUGCGGUAGGGGAGAUUGGAAUUCCUGGUGUAGCGGUGAAAUGCGCAGAUAUCAGGAGGAACACCGAUGGCGAAGGCAGCCCCCUGGGCUAACACUGACGCUCAGGCACGAAAGCGUGGGGAGCAAACAGG
rnacentral:rRNA from 1 species